AACGAACGCUGGCGGCAUGCCUAACACAUGCAAGUCGAACGAGACCUUCGGGUCUAGCGGCGCACGGGUGCGUAACACGUGGGAAUCUGCCCUUUGCUUCGGAAUAACAGUUAGAAAUGACUGCUAAUACCGGAUGAUGUCGAAAGACCAAAGAUUUAUCGGCAAAGGAUGAGCCCGCGUAGGAUUAGGUAGUUGGUGGGGUAAAGGCCUACCAAGCCGACGAUCCUUAGCUGGUCUGAGAGGAUGAUCAGCCACACUGGGACUGAGACACGGCCCAGACUCCUACGGGAGGCAGCAGUGGGGAAUAUUGGACAAUGGGCGAAAGCCUGAUCCAGCAAUGCCGCGUGAGUGAUGAAGGCCUUAGGGUUGUAAAGCUCUUUUACCAGGGAUGAUAAUGACAGUACCUGGAGAAUAAGCUCCGGCUAACUCCGUG
rnacentral:rRNA from 1 species